GCAGCAACACUCCUGCGGGAUUUGGUGCCGGAGAAAUGAAAAAUGUCUUCUGUUCUGUACUUGCAAAGAUAAACAUAAAAAUGUAGGAAGCACUUGUGGCAAGGAUCUUUCUUCAAACAGUUUCCUGCUAAAAUCUUGUGGGAGCUUGUAGGCAGAAAACACACCAUUGCCGUUAUGAUUUCUUCAUAAUAAAACUAUUCCCGGUUGGCGUCUUCACGUCAAAUACUUCCUUUUGAUCCGUUUCUGGAACAGUUUUUGAAACGAAUUAUAUAAUUGAAACAGUUUUAUUCCAGUGUAUCUAUUUAGGAUGCUUUUGUUCUUUAGGUUUAUUGUGUGAGAAAAGAAAAGUCUUCAUCCCUUAACAGCCACAGUAUGUCAUCACAUAAUGACUUUAUUUCAAGAAAUGUACAAGCAUAGCCUGCCCAGUAGUAUACAUGUGAAAUAAUUGUUAUUCACAGCUUCUUAUCCUCUCUGCCGUGUUGUGCACUCCUCUGAUCACCCCGUAUGGCAUAUGCAAUUUGAUACAAUAUGCUAAGUAAUAGAAAGUCUGUGCUGUAAUUGGCCAAACAACCCAGUGGUGGAGCAUUUAAAAGGCUAAAGCUUGGGGAAAAUGAAAAGCGAGUGAUUAUUCCAGGGCUUGUGGUAAAUGAACCUCAUAACGAGCAAGGCGGAGUGGUAGACAAUUGGGAACGCUCCGAUUGGAAAACAAAGCAUUGGAAGGCAGGCCUGUGGUGCCUCGAAUAGAAAUAAAACACUAUUAGGGUAUUGAGUAGACCUUGGUUUGGCAUUGUAGUCUAGUUAGACGGUGUAAAGACUGGAGGCAAUAUUUUUAACGCCACAUAAUCUACUGCAGAGAACAUAAAUGGGAAAAACUGCAUUUUUGAAAUCCUCAUAUACAUAUUCAUAUUCUUAUGCAUAUUCUUUUGCCCUGAAAACUUUCUCCCCGGCCGUACGGAUAGUAUGACCUCUUCACGACCUGUCCUCUGAGGCACAGAGAAAAUACGUGUUUACGGGGGGAAAAUAGCUGUGGAAUAAAUUGGCAGUGUGCAAUCUGCCAUCUGUGCAGGAGCAGUUAUACCAAGGUGAGAGAAAAGAGCUCAUUGAGAGCAGCUGGUUGAAUCCUCUUCUUCCUUCCUGGCAAAAGUACCAUCAGAGCGACGCCGGGAUGCAUCUGAACACUGCAGCCUCCCACGAUGAUGACAACUUGAUGUGAAAAUGGCUUGGCUUUCAACGUGGCCUGUAGUGAUUGGUGAUUGUGGAUCUGCUUGAUGUCUCUUUGUCGCCUGAUUACAUGUUGUGAUUUUCGGAUGUUUUAUGCAAGUAUGCUGAUUCAGACAAGGACCAUUCAACUGCCCUCCUCAAAGGUUGGAGAUUAUGUGUUUGAUUAUGUUUAAAAAUAGCUACAUUUUAUUGUAUUUUGUGUGUGUGUGUGUCCAUAUUGCUUUCUGUUUUAAUAUGGAAACAAGUCAUGCAAGCAGUACAGCUGUCAGUUGGUUCACUACUUUGAAAGAUCUCAAAAACUAUUGUGAAAUUUUAUACAGACAUUCAUGAUCCCUAGAGGAUGAAUUCUAAUGACUUUGUUGAUCUACCCCUGUAUAGUUCUCCUAUUUAUACUGUUUUAUACUGUAUAAUAAUGCAGUAACUAUUUUCACAAUGAAGUGAAGCUAUUCAUGUCAAGUUUUCAAACUGUUCCCCCCUCAAAGAUCUUUGGCGCAUGCAGAUGUCCAGGCGUGCACAGCAUCAGUCUGCUCUCUCCAGUCUUGGCCCGCUUAGUUUUUGGAGGAAGCACAGCAGUGACAUUUACUUGGUACUCACCAAGACUCAAAGGUCAAAACUUGAUUCAGUUCAGGAUCAAAAACACUGAGGCCAUUAAUCUUCUUCAUGUCUGCCAAGUGUUAAACAGUUGAUAAAUGUACAUCAAACAAAAGUCGAUUUUGGCCGGCGGGCUGCCUCUUACACUGAACAUUCAGAUUUGUUUUGAAAUGACUUCUCUGCAAAACAAAUCAAUUGCAGAAUAAGCUCCAGACUAACUUCCUGUUGCGUUCGCUUUUGCUUCGCUGCAUUAAUGACGCGCUUGUCACUUGGUGUUUUAGAGGCAAUCACAUUCCGCAUGACUCACAUCUCGCAAUCAUUCCAUGUGUGUCCAGCAGGAGAAAAAAUUUAACCCCUGCUACACAACUUGAAUAUGUAAAACAAAACCUUAAUAUUGAUAUCUGGCAUUAAUAUUGAUAUCUGCCAGGAGAGACUGUCCUUGUCGAUGACAGCGUUUCAGCAGCAUGAAUUAUUUUCUGUCAUCCAUAACAGAUAGAUGGGAUUUAAAUAGGAAGCGUACAUCAGGACGUGAGGCAGGGGCAGCACCGGCGCUUGACAGUGAUAAGUGUGACAGCCGGGCUGAAUUUGAAUUGCGCGAGCGAUAAAUUAACUCUUAACGCUCCGGGACGGAAGCCAAUCUCUUGGGACUGAUGGCAGAACGGAGCUCAACUUCACCUUUAUCAGCAGGCUCAUAUUUAUGACCAACUGCAAGCUUUGGAGGAAUAUUUGCAUGGCUUGAUUGGUUCUAAUUACAUACACCUGGCACUGCUCACCUGUUUAAAAGAGGCUGGACUGUGACAAUCACUGAGCUGGACACUGAGCAAGACAUCAACUGAAAUGCUUGUGCUUGUGCUUGUGCUUGUGCUUGUGCUUGUGCUUUUCUGCAUCACAAAAGAGUGAAAACACAGUAAAUGUGAACUUCAAAAGACACAUUUAGCCACAUUAGCUGCAUGGUUCUAGGGAUGGUAAUGUUGGUCCACCACGCUGGUCCAGACUGAAAUAUCUCAACAACUAUCACAUGGGUUGGCAUAAAAUCCGAUACAUACAUUCAUUGCCCUCAGAGAAUGAAUUGUAAAAACUUCGAUCCCCUGAUCGUUCAACUAAAGUUUAUGACCAAGUACCUGCAAAACUAAUGAUAAUUCCGUCAGCCUCAGCUGUGCUUUGUGUUUAGUACUAAUUAGCAAAUGUUAGCAUGCUAAACUAAUACUUUAAACAUGGUGAACAUCAUACCUGCUAAAUAUCAACUUGCUAGCAUUCUCAUUGUGAGAAUGUUAGCAUGUUCAUAUAAGCUCAAAGCACUGCUAUGCUAACGAAUAGCCUCACAGAGCCACUAGCAUAGCUGUAGACUCUUAGUUGAUCCAAGAAGUCAGUCUGUAAACAGUGAUGGAUGUUUACAACAGAUAUUUUGGGAAUUCAUUUUACCGUUAGCUUGUGUUUUCUCUUCCAAACACAUCUGACUAAUCUGGGGGUUUGUUUCCAGCCUGUAUGAUCGACUGCUGCGUUCUUGUCUUUUUUUACCCCUUUUCAGCAAAGUCACCAAGUCUCUCUAAAUCUUUGAGUCUAUUGUUAUCAUAACUGACAGAAAAAAUGAGCAAAUUUACACAAAUAAGGUUGAAAUUGUAAUAAAGUGGAAUUUUCCUCUUAACAACUGAAUCUCCACAUGAUGUGAUUGUUAGGUUUUUACACAGUCAUUAUGUUACUCUCAUUCUGUCUGACCUAUAAUCGUCUCAUCUCCCUUGUCAAUUUCUCCCUCUGUCAUUUCUGGACCGAUAAGCUCGCUCUGUUUGCUGUCCUACCGUCUCUCAGACAAAUCCAUGCUGAACACAGGCAUACAGCAAAAAAAUGACAGAAAUCAUGCACAGUGUCAAAGCUAGUUUUACAGAAAAUUAAUCAAACCUCAAGUGUCCAAGAGAUUAAUAGCUGCCAUUAUUCAAGCUCGACUCAAGGUGCUCUGCAUGUGUUGUUUAUGUGAGUGUAUGAAUGUGUCCAUGUGGAUGAAAUACGAGAGAGAUGAAGGAAGAGAAGAAAUGGGUUAUAUUCCCUCCACAGAGACUGAAGCUGAUGAAAGUUUUUAGCAAUAAUCAAACAUCAAAAUCUAUAAAUCAAAGAGCUGUUACUUGGAAAAUGGAGAGAGAGGGGGGCAGGCUGAGGUCAAGAGAGGUUGGGGAGAAAUACAAGGUCAACCUUUGCAUUACAUCAGAGGCUUCCUCCUCACUCCUAUCACUUCCAAUUUACUUAAUUACAGGAGAACUUCUAUCUUCUUCCCUGCGCUCUGGAAGAUAAUCGACAAUGAAAUUAAGUGGCGGUAGGCUCAUUUCAGUGGGGGAUUGUGGAGAAUGUGACGGCUCAGGGCUGAUGGGAGAUAAUCGCAGGACACAAUAACCGCUGCCAAGAGAAUUGCUCUGGGCUUCUUUAAUAACCGUAACCUUGUCUUACACUGUAAGAAAUGUCCAGGCUUAAAGAAAAUGAUGUGGACACAGUCUUCCCAAAGCUGACAAACCUCCUCAAAAUAUAUGCUGCAUUACCAGUGACAACUGCAUCGGUUGCCUGAUCGUUCUCCAAACUGAAGCUGAUCAAGACCCAGCUUGGAAACAGAUGUGGGGAAGGAAGGCUCUCAGAUCUUCUGCUGUUGUCUAUUGAGAGUGACAUACCAACUGAUCAUAACAAGGUCAUUAACAUUCACAAACUCAUGGCCAAAAGAAUUCUCCUUUUAUUUCACCAAUCUUACUCUUCACUUGCCUGACAAGACCAGUUCCAUAGUUCCAUGUUUUUACUACAGAUUUGUUUGAGAAAUAUACAUUUAAAACAUUACCCAUUCCCUGUAUUUUAUUACAGACAUCUUUUCAAAAUAAAUGUUUAAAAAGUACAUUCUUUUUAAUACAGAAGUGUUGUUUUCCUUACAUUCUGAGUCACCACUUAUCAUAUUAAUCUUAACUGGCAAUGUAGCCUUUUUACCAAACAUGCAUCGUUGUUCUAUGCUGAUGGGGGCCCAUUGAAUGUAUCAGGUGUCUUUUAUAU